ensembl:lncRNA
CCGAUGGAUCCUCAUAUUUGAUUAUUGAUCUACAGAUUUAACAUUCUUGGUGAGGCAACCCUCCGAUUUUUCCGUGCUGCAAUCGUAGUUCACUGAGACUGGGUUUGUCUCCUCCUGGUCUCAAAUCAUAGAUUUUUCGCGUGAACAACGAAGCGAGUCAACAACAUUCGACAAAUUCAUAACUGCGCAGUUUUGCAGCGGGUAGUUAAAGGUCAGUUUUGCUCUGCGUACUGCAAAAAUGUAACGCCAUUUUUUGGCGAUCCGUCUUUUUGCGAUAAUUAAUAUUUUUGUAAUACAAAUAUAUUUUAAAGUGAGAGACAGGGCGAGAGAAGAAUUACGCCGACGUUACGUACCCCGAGAUCGCCCCAAUCCCAUAAUCGCAAACUUCAAAAAGAAAAGGCGCGCACUCACUCGCAUUUAAGGAAGUGGCCACCCGGUGCACGCGUUUACCAGCCUGUCAGCGCGAUUAACAGAUUUUUAUUAGGUUGCCACUAUCCCACCGGAUCCUCGAACUUUGCGUCAACCACAUAAACCCACCGUCCGACAUCCCAGCUGUUCCUCCCUGAGAGCCCAGGCCCCACGUCCCAUCAAGUCGGAGAGCAGCAGCGCUACCGAUCCAGGCAGUGAAUGUAAGAGGGCAGCAGUGCACAUAAAUAAUAAUCUUGGCCGUGGACUUACUGGAUUGAUUUGUAUGGCUGGUUUGUACUAAUUAUCAUGUAUUAAUGAAUAUGAUACUAACCUAUGACAUAUACAAUAGUCACUUAACAUUGAAGUUAAAUUGCCAAGAGCCAGGUUUUGCUGACCUUGACUGAACAACAGCAGUCUGUAGGGUUUUUUUCUUCUUUCAUUUCACAGUUCUCUUUCUGAUUGCGAUUGGAGCACUGUGAUCUUCAGAGUAAGUGUGAUUUUAUUUUAACAAAACUUUCAUCUUAGAAACACAAUUUCCUUAUAUCAGGUCCCUUGAAUCGGUUCAUGAAUGACUAAAGCUAUAGAUCAACCCCCCAAAAAAUAUUUCACACCAUUUAAUCCAUUAUACAUUUUAAUAUAGUUCCCCACACUUAAAAUAGAUGAUUUUAUUCUUUCCUUUUAGUGCUGUAAGAAAAGCUUUGUGAAAUAUUUUACAAAAAAAAAAAAUUCUAAUUCUCAGUCCCAGUAAGUCUUGAAUUGGAGAACAUUUUUAGUUCAAAUAUUGAAAAAAAUGGAAAGGGGCUACUAGCAGACUGUUUUUGGUUCGUUUUUUUUUUUUUUUUUUGUACUUAACACACUUCUCUCUUUUUUCAAACAGGACUUUGGAUCUUCAACAUUUAUCACUCAGCAUGAAACAUCGUGCUGAAACAUCAUUUUUUUUUACUCAUAGCUACUUACUUUCUGUCUUAAAAUGUAUUCGAUUUUAACUGUAUUAGAUUUGCCACAGCAAAAUGGCUAAAUAGGAUCUGUUUUAUUGCAUAUGCUUAAGCCCAAAGAAGUCAGCCUUUUUUUUAGAAAAACAAUUUCCAUAAUAACUGGUUAUUUUUCUGUAAAUCAGCUUCAUACUUAUUUGGCUUAUUAGACUUCAGCUUUACUUGACAGCAAAUAAUUAUGUUUGAAACACAUCUACAUAUCUGGCCUUAAUUAAAAACACAUCUGCA